UCAGUCGUUGUCCAGUUGACUUGAGGUGGAGAUGUGCAUCUCGAGGCAGAGCAAGGCUUGAAGAAUUCAUGUGAUAUAAGCUUAGAGGGAUGUGAAACAGCCUGACAACCUCAGUAGUGUAAUUUACCACAGGAGGGCAGAAGGACCCUGUGGAGGUGAUUGUGAGCCCUCUGUUUUCCUUUCAUAGUCUAGUUCAUGUGGUCACCAAUCCCGGAUCAGUGUUGUACCAUACGCUGGUCUUUCCAGGAGAUACUGAUUCAUCGCACGCUGUAAAACCAGGCUCGUGGCGACAUCUGGUAGCCCAACCACUGAAGAAGAUAAGACACAACGCACCUCGACUUAUAUCACAACAUCCAGAGCCUCAGAGCGCACCAAGAGACGAGCAGAAGUCAGACAUCAUGACACUCAGAAUGGUAUUGAUGGCGGCGGUAAUAGCAGCGGUAGUGACAAGUGUCAUCAGCGAGGAACUCAUGGGCCAGUAUGUUGCCCAUAGAGCCAACUUUCUCAACGACUACAGCUUUCCUGUACCUGUCCCAGUUGCCCCAGCUGAAUUUUCCCCUGCUGCACGUAUCCGCAGGGACUCAGGCUAUGUACCUCCUCACAGCCACAAGGUUCACCACAAAAAGGGUGUAGUUGGGCCUGUAUAUACUUUUGCCAAGACUGAUUACAAAGGUAACUUUAAAUGGGGUGUUCGCCAUCGUGCAGGAGUGAAAUAUGCGGGAGGAUAUCAUCACUAGUUGAUGCUUUGAUAUCCACAGCUUCAUAUUACUAGAAUACUACUCAGUAAUUGUUUCACACAGACCAUUACUACUCAUUAUCAAUAUCAUGACUUGCCACUGUUGAACUUCACGAUUUAGGUAGCCUACUGUAUAUUUCCCAUGUCUCUCCUGAAUUGCAAAGUGUAGUGCUAAUGAUCAGAGGAAAUACCAAAGUCUUUCUUGAAAAUUAAGGUGAUAUAUUCAACCUCUUUUUCAUCAAGCUUCUCCCAUGUAUCAAACCUUAGUCCAAAGAAGCAACCCUUUACUUAGACACAAAGUAGAUACUAAUACUAUCAGCUGUAAGGAUUCUUACUCUUGGAAUGACACUUCUUGUUACAUAUUGGUUUUACUUUUUACUUGGAACUUAAAUACAUGACCUAUUUACUCCACCUUUACAAGAUAUUUGAUGAAUUACUACCAAUAAUCAGAUCAAAACAGCGUCAUCAGUCUUUAAGCUGCCCUUAUAGAACCAUGACUGGUUUAGACAGGUGCCUGUGCUUAUGUUGGUGCAGGAGAUAUUUCUCGAAUCAUCACAAUUAUCGUUGCAAAUACUUUGUGAUUGUAAAUACUCAUUUGUUUUUCUUGUAUUAUUGUACACAUUUGUAAAUGUACUACACAGUUGCUAUAUUACUGUUUUCAUCAUAAGCAAUUUAGAUACUUCAUUAAACACAAAUCUAAUAAAAUGUGAUCUACAUAUUA